rnacentral:rRNA from 1 species
AGUGAACGCUGGCGGUAGGCCUAACACAUGCAAGUCGAACGGCAGCACAGUAAGAGCUUGCUCUUACGGGUGGCGAGUGGCGGACGGGUGAGGAAUACAUCGGAAUCUACUUUUUCGUGGGGGAUAACGUAGGGAAACUUACGCUAAUACCGCAUACGACCUACGGGUGAAAGCAGGGGAUCUUCGGACCUUGCGCGAUUGAAUGAGCCGAUGUCGGAUUAGCUAGUUGGCGGGGUAAAGGCCCACCAAGGCGACGAUCCGUAGCUGGUCUGAGAGGAUGAACAGCCACACUGGAACUGAGACACGGUCCAGAGUCCUACGGGAGGCAGCAGUGGGGAAUAUUGGACAAUGGGCGCAAGCCUGAUCCAGCCAUACCGCGUGGGUGAAGAAGGCCUUCGGGUUGUAAAGCCCUUUUGUUGGGAAAGAAAAGCAGCAGGUUAAUACCCCGCUGUUCUGACGGUACCCAAAGAAUAAGCACCGGCUAACUUCGUG